CAUAAUCGCCAUGUCGUAAAUGAAUCUGUCUAUUUUAAGUAGUAGUGUCUCUGAUCAUCUCUCGCACGCUCUCUUCUCAGCUGCUUUGCCUUCUCCAACCGUGCGAUUGGAGUUAGGGUUUAAAAGUAGCCCUGAGUCGAAAUCUUAGGUAAUUUCAGGCUAAUUAGAUUGAUGCUCAUUGGGAGUUGAAGCCGAAUUCCUUUGACAAAAUGGGAUUUGAUAACGAGUGCAUACUGAAUAUCCAAUCUCUGGCCGGAGAGUACUUCUGUCCUGUUUGUCGUCUACUUGUCUACCCAAAUGAAGCAUUACAGUCGCAAUGCACCCAUCUUUACUGCAAACCAUGUUUAACCUAUGUUGUCAGCACUACUCGAGCUUGUCCUUAUGAUGGUUACUUAGUAACAGAAGCUGAUUCUAAGCCACUUGUUGAGUCAAAUAAGAUGCUUGCUGACACCAUUGGGAAAAUCACAGUUCAUUGUCUAUACCAUAGAAGUGGCUGCACAUGGCAGGGUCCUCUGUCUGAAUGUACAGCUCAUUGUUCUGGGUGUGCAUUUGGCAAUUCUCCUGUUGUAUGUAAUAGGUGUGGCAUUCAGAUUGUGCAUCGUCAAGUUCAAGAACAUGCACAAAAUUGCCCUAGUGUGCAGCCACAAGCACAGCAGGCUAAGGGUGGUCAGGAUACUGCAGCCACAGGUACCACAGCUGCUGAUCAGGCCCAGAUUGCUUCUCAGACAGGAACAGCUACUUCUCAGGCCCAGGCAUCUCAAACUACAACAUCUGGUACACCUGGACAGGAACCCAAUCAGCAGGCCAACCCAAAUCCCCGGUCCCAAGCUGUCUCCCAGGCUGCUGCGAUGACUUCGGAACAGUUGUACCAACAGCAACAACAGUAUCAGCAAUACUACCAGCAGUAUUCUGGAUAUGACCCGUAUUAUCAGCAAUAUUACCCCUAUCAACAGCAGUCGGUUCUGCAAUACCAGCAGCAACCUUUGCAGGUUAAUGCACCACACAUGGCUGGCCAGCAUCCAGUCGACCUGCAGACACAGCCCCAACCUCAACCCCAAGUACAGCCUCAACCACAGGUUCAGGCUCAAGUGCAGCCACAACCACAACCACAGGCCCAGCAUCAGUCAAAUUCAUCUGUUCAGGCUCCUGUGGCUGCUCAACCUCAGAACCAGUCACAAGCCAACCAACAGCAGCAAACUCACAUUACGGUGCCACCACCCUCUCAAAUUCCUUUGCAAAAUUACCCAGCAGCCCAGGGCCAUCCUCAGCCUCAGGUUCAGCCAUUUCCUCAAGCUCAGCCUCAGGUUCAGCCAUUUCCUCAAGCUCAGCCUCAUCUGCAACAUGGGCAAAUUCCUCAGUAUCAGCAGCAUCAUUCCCAGCUGCACCAACCACAGCCCCAGCUUCUUCCUGCUCCUCAAGCUCAACCUCAUUCACAAGCUCAGCCACAGGCCCAGCUUCAGCCUCAGCCUCAGCCCCAGCCCCAGCCGCAUCCUCAACAAAGCCAGCCCAUGAAUCCAAAUUUGCUGCCUCAGCCGCAGCAGCUGCACCCUGCAGCCCAUGCUGUGACUGGUCAUCAAUCUUAUCCACUAUCACAGCCCCACCAGCAGAUGCAGCUGGUAACACCACAACAUCCCAUGCAUGUGCAUGCUCAAGGUGGCCUUCACCCACAGCAACAUCCUGCUCAAAUGCAGAAUUCAUACCCGCAGCAACCUCCUCAGAUGCGCCCACCCCAACCUCAUGUUGCAAUUUCUAACCAGCAGCAGCCAGGUUUGUUGCCAUCACCAGGUUCUAUGCUGCAACAAGUUCAUCUUCAUUCUCAUCAACCUGCACUUCCAGUUCAACAACGGCCAGUUAUGCAUCCUGCUGCAUCACCCAUGUCUCAGCCGUAUGUGCAGCAACAACCUUUGUCAACCCAACCGGUGGGCUUGGUUCAGCCUCAAAUGCUUCAGCAAGGUCCUUUUGUGCAGCAACAGUCGUCCUUUCAGUCUCAGUCACGCCCCCUAGGGCCACCUCAUUCCUUUCCGCAACCUCCUCAUGCCUAUGCACAACCACAGCAAAAUGUUGCAGGAUCUCAUGCUGUGCAUUUCCAUCCAUCACAUAAUCUUGUUGGGAGACCUAUGACUCCAAAUCAUGGAGUACAAUCACAGCCAUAUCCACAUUCUGCAGCUGGUACACCAGUUAAGCCUGUGCAUCUCGGUGCGAACCAGCCAUCUUCUUAUCAGAAUAAUGUGUUCAGGACGAACAACCAAUCUGGGGUAACUUCACAACCAAUGUCUGAGGUGCCAGGAGAUCAUGGUACUGACAAAAAUGUGGCUGAGCAAGAAGCUGAUUCAUCCUCCCCGGGAACUGCUAGGAAGGAAGCUAAUGAGUUGGAUAUGGCAUCUAGUCUUGGAGCCGAUGUGGCUGAGAAAAAUACUGCAAAAUUGGAAGCUGAUUUGAAAUCCGUAGAUGAAAAACUUACUGGUGAUGUUGGAGAUGAUAGUAAUGGGGUUGAUAUAUCUACCAAGGAGACACCAGAAUCUAGAAGGACAGUUGGUACGGACCUUGAACAACAUAGAGAUCCUGUAUCUAAGAAUAUGGUUACCUGUGAGGCAAUUGAGGACCAGAAAGAUGUUCACAACGGUGAGCACAAGGUAGAAGAAAUUAAAAUAAAGGAUGGCCCUUUGUUGAAAACUCCCCCACUGCAGGAGGCUAAGCUUGGUGAAGAACAGAAUGGAAAGAUGCAGAAAGACAAAAUUCUUCCUCAUGAUCAGGGCACUCCUAAAGGGCCUGCAGGCAAUGGAUUUAGAGGCAUUCCUCCAUCUAGUCAGGUGCAGCCUGGGGGCUAUCUGCCACCUUCUCAUUCAGUUCCAAAUGUUGAUCAGGGAAGGCACCAACCCCUACAGAUGCCUUAUGGGUCUAAUAAUAACCAACAAAGACCUGCUGUUUCUGCAAUAUUACAAGCACCUCCACCAGGACUGCCUUCACAUGCACAAACACCAGGACUUCCUCCCAAUCAAUUUAGGCCGCAGGGCCCAGGACAGGCUUUAGUUCCACCUGAAAAUUUACCGCCUGGUUCCUUUGGAAGAGACCCAAGUAAUUAUGGUCCUCAAGGGCCUUAUAAUCAAGGUCCUCCUUCCCUUUCUGGUGCUCCAAGGAUAUCUCAAGGUGAACCUCUUGUAGGCCUGUCAUAUGGUACUCCACCUCUUACUGCCUUUGACUCACAUGGUGCACCAUUAUAUGGCCCUGAAAGUCAUUCGGUUCAGCAUUCUGCCAACAUGGUGGACUAUCAUGCUGAUAAUAGACGGCUAGAUCCUAGAGCCUCAGGCCUUGAUUCCACAUCAACAUUCAGCUUGCGUGGUGAAAGGUUAAAGCCUGUCCAAGAUGAGUGUUCAAAUCAAUUUCCUUUGGAUCGUGGUCAUCGCGGUGAUCGAGGACAGUUUGAAGAAGAUCUUAAACAUUUUCCUAGGCCUUCUCAUUUGGAUAAUGAACCUGUUCCGAAAUUUGGGAGCUACAUCUCCUCAUCUAGACCACUUGAUAGAGGUCCUCAUGGUUUUGGUAUGGAUAUGGGACCAAGGGCUCAAGAGAAGGAACCUCAUGGGUUUAGUUUUGAUCCUAUGAUUGGCUCAGGUCCUUCUCGAUUCUUGCCACCAUAUCAUCCUGAUGAUACUGGAGAAAGACCAGUUGGUCUUCCCAAAGAUACUCUAGGCAGACCAGAUUUUCUUGGAACAGUUCCUAGCUAUGGUCGGCAUCGUAUGGAUGGUUUUGUUUCUAGAAGUCCAGGCAGAGAAUAUCCAGGCAUAUCCCCACACGGAUUUGGAGGGCAUCCUGGUGAUGAGAUAGAUGGCAGGGAACGCCGAUUCAGUGAUAGGUUCCCUGGCUUGCCUGGCCAUUUACAUAGGGGUGGAUUUGAGAGUUCUGAUCGUAUGGAGGAGCAUUUGAGGAGUCGUGAUAUGAUUAAUCAAGAUAAUCGGCCUGCAUACUUUAGAAGGGGUGAACAUGUGGGUCAUCAUAACAUGCCUGGUCAUUUGCGGUUGGGAGAACCUAUUGGCUUUGGUGAUUUUUCUAGCCAUGAACGAAUAGGAGAAUUUGGUGGGCCUGGAAACUUCCGUCAUCCACGACUUGGUGAGCCAGGGUUUAGAAGCAGCUUUUCACUUCAAGAAUUUCCUAAUGAUGGUGGAAUCUAUACAGGUGGUAUGGAUUCAUUUGAAAAUUUGAGAAAGAGAAAACCAAUGAGCAUGGGUUGGUGCCGCAUUUGUAAAAUAGACUGUGAAACAGUUGAAGGCUUGGACCUGCACUCACAAACAAGGGAGCACCAGAAGAUGGCUAUGGAUAUGGUUGUGACCAUCAAACAAAAUGCAAAGAAACAAAAACUAACCUCCAGUGAUCACUCCAUACGCAAUGAUACAAGCAAGUCAAAGAAUGUAAAAUUUGAAGGCCGUGUGAAUAAGCAUUGAGUCUUGAUGUUUGCUGUCCAUAGAUUGUGGUUGUUCCCUUGCUCACUUGGGAUUGAAUUUGUUGGUGUGGUAUUUGGCACUUAGUGAUGUAGGUCACUCACCCUUUGAUGCCUCUUUUUCACUUCUGGGUGGUUUAUGCUGGUCCUGUCAUUUCAGGUUGCUGCCAUGUAAAUGGAGAUGGUUUUUGGAACUGACGUUCAGUGGCAAUUUUUUCAAUUCGACCUCUCUUUUUUCGGCGAAGCAGACAACAUAAUGGCUGAAAGUUCAGUGGGAAGGUUUUGUCACUCAUCUUUUUUAGAUGUGGUAAGAUUGUGUUCAGCAUACAGAUUUUGUCAGCGGUAAACUUUUCUUUGUAAUAUUCCUUUUUUUUCCCUUUCAAAUUGGUUAACUGCUGGGUAUUAUAUAUGUUGCUUUAUUUUCAUACUGAUUUUGCUUUUUAUAGUUUCUUUUACAUUAAUCUUUUACAUUUUUUAUGUCCAGCAUUCAAGUGUGGGAAAUUUGUGGUAGUCUGUAAUUGUAGAAUUGAGAGGCUGAUAAAAUGUUAGUUAGAGUGUAAGUUAUUUCAUAAAGUGUAUAAUUAUUUUUAUUUUUUAGUAAGUGUAUCAAUUUAGGACAGUUUUGGAAAUAGGUCCUUUUGUUGGAUUGAGUGAGGUCAUUGAGUACCCUUUCAUUUUAGUUUAACAGUGCCUUGUGCCUUUGGGAGAGGGAUUUAAAGGUUAAGCCAUGAGUCCAUGUAGACUUGCAUGUUAGGAUAUACUUGUUUGGGCCAAGGGUUGUCCUGGGGCUUGGUCUAUGCUAGGACAGACAAGAAAAGGCGUGCUUAACAUGACCCCUGUUUGAAAUGGUAUGUUUUGCCGGGAUCCAUCUUUCCAUACUAGAUGAUUUUGAACCUAAAUGACAUUUCCUUAGAAAAGAAUGUGUUAGUCAUGUUAUUUUAACCUUUAUUUCUAGGUUCUUUAGUGUUUCAAUUUUAGGAUCUGAUAAAUUAUGCGUUACAUUUGCCAAUAUUGGUGGUUCACCUUCCUUGCUGUCCCGAUAGAGUGUGUGUGUGUGGAUAAGUCUGUUUUGACUUAACACUCAUGCAGCUAUAUUUGAUGUACUAUUCUAGAGGCGUUAAUGUUAUAUCCUCAUUGACCUUUAUUGACUA